UAUGUCUCACGUAACUGGCGAAAACUGUCACGCAGCGCGUGACGGGAAAGGUGGACACCCACCGGGGAACGUGAGAUUUCAUCCGCCGUUCGCCUGGGCAGCCGAC
rnacentral:ncRNA from 2 species